rnacentral:rRNA from 1 species
CCAGCUCCAAUAGCGUAUAUUUAAGUUGUUGCAGUUAAAAAGCUCGUAGUUGGAUUUCGGGUGGGUUAUAGCGGUCCGCCUAUGGUGAGUACUGCUAUGGCCCUCCUUACUGUCGGGGACCUGCUUCUGGGCUUCACUGUCCGGGACAGGGAUUCGGCAUGGUUACUUUGAGUAAAUUAGAGUGUUCAAAGCAGGCUUACGCCGUGAAUACUUUAGCAUGGAAUAACAUGAUAGGACUCUGCCCUAUUCUGUUGGCCUGUAGGAGUGGAGUAAUGAUUAAGAGGAACAGUCGGGGGCAUUCGUAUUUCAUUGUCAGAGGUGAAAUUCUUGGAUUUAUGAAAGACGAACUACUGCGAAAGCAUUUGCCAAGGAUGUUUUCA